rnacentral:rRNA from 1 species
AGUGAACGCUGGCGGUAGGCCUAACACAUGCAAGUCGAACGGCAGCACAGUAAGAGCUUGCUCUUACGGGUGGCGAGUGGCGGACGGGUGAGGAAUACAUCGGAAUCUACUUUUUCGUGGGGGAUAACGUAGGGAAACUUACGCUAAUACCGCAUACGACCUACGGGUGAAAGCAGGGGAUCUUCGGACCUUGCGCGAUUGAAUGAGCCGAUGUCGGAUUAGCUAGUUGGCGGGGUAAAGGCCCACCAAGGCGACGAUCCGUAGCUGGUCUGAGAGGAUGAUCAGCCACACUGGAACUGAGACACGGUCCAGACUCCUACGGGAGGCAGCAGUGGGGAAUAUUGGACAAUGGGCGCAAGCCUGAUCCAGCCAUACCGUGUGGGUGAAGAAGGCCUUCGGGUUGUAAAGCCCUUUUGUUGGGAAAGAAAAGCAGCAGGUUAAUACCCCGCUGUUCUGACGGUACCCAAAGAAUAAGCACCGGCUAACUUCG